ACCCUCUCAGGGUCUCACCUGGUGAGUUUUUCAGUACUCUACCAGUCUCGACUACGGGAGGGAAAGUCAAGCAGAGGCCUACCCAUUCCAUUCCUAGGUUGGGCAGUAGCUAGUGAGUGGAAGGCAACCUGCUACAAGU